rnacentral:rRNA from 1 species
GAUGAACGCUGGCGGCGUGCCUAACACAUGCAAGUCGAACGGACAGAUGAGGAUCUUGUUCCGCUCACGUUAGCGGCGGACGGGAGAGUAACACGUGGAUAACCUACCUAUAUGACUGGGAUAACUUCGAGACACCGGCGCUAAUACCAGAUGAUAUAUUGCACCGCAUGGUUCGAUAGUGAAUGACGGUUUUGCUGUCACUUAUAGAUGGUUCCGCGCCGCAUUAGCUAGUUGGUAAGGUAAAGGCUUUCCACGGCAACGAUGCGUAGCCGACCGGAGAGGGGGAUCGGCGACAGUGGAAGUGAGACACGGUCCAGACGCCUACGGGAGGGAGCAGUAGGGAAUCGUCGGCAGUAGGCGAGAGCAUUACGGAGCAAGGCGGCGUGAGUGGUGAAAGUCUUCGGAUCGGAAGGCAGUGUUAUUAGGGAAGAACAACUGUGUAAGUAACUGAGGACGUAUUGACGGUACCUGAUCAGAAAGCAACGGCUAACUACGUG